rnacentral:rRNA from 1 species
ACUCAAAUGAAUUGACGGGGGCCCGCACAAGCAGUGGAUUAUGUGGUUUAAUUCGAAGCAACGCGAAGAACCUUACCAGGGCUUGACAUCCUACUAAGGGAUCAGAGAUGAGCCCGUGCCCUUCGGGGAGAGUAGAGACAGGUGGUGCAUGGUUGUCGUCAGCUCGUGUCGUGAGAUGUUGGGUUAAGUCCCGCAACGAGCGCAACCCCUAUUGUUAGUUGCUACGCGAGAGCACUCUAGCGAGACUGCCGUUGACAAAACGGAGGAAGGCGGGGACGACGUCAAAUCAUCAUGCCCCUUAUGUCCUGGGCUACACACGUAAUACAAUGGCGCCGAACAGAGGGAAGCGAGGCCGCGAGGCGGAGCGAAUCCCGAAAAGGCGUCCCAGUUCGGAUCGCAGGCUGCAACCCGCCUGCGUGAAGUCGGAAUUGCUAGUAAUCGCGGAUCAUCAUGCCGCGGUGAAUACGUUCCCGGGCCUUGUACACACCGCCCGU